AAAUUCAUUUACAAAGAGGCACAAAGAAAGAAAUCAAAAGAAAAAAAACAAAAAAGGCAGACAGCAACUUUUCCUCCAUGUUCC
rnacentral:ribozyme from 14 species